CCCUACGGGGGGCAGCAGUGAGGAAUAUUGGUCAAUGGACGAGAGUCUGAACCAGCCAAGUAGCGUGAAGGAUGACUGCCCUAUGGGUUGUAAACUUCUUUUAUAAAGGAAUAAAACGAGGCACGUGUGACUUUUUGCAUGUACUUUAUGAAUAAGGAUCGGCUAACUCCGUGCCAGCAGCCGCGGUAAUACGGAGGAUCCGAGCGUUAUCCGGAUUUAUUGGGUUUAAAGGGAGCGUAGAUGGGUUGUUAAGUCAGUUGUGAAAGUUUGCGGCUCAACCGUAAAAUUGCAAUUGAUACUGGCAGUCUUGAGUACAGUUGAGGUAGGCGGAAUUCGUGGUGUAGCGGUGAAAUGCUUAGAUAUCACGAAGAACCCCGAUUGCGAAGGCAGCUUACUAAACUGUGACUGACAUUGAUGCUCGAAAGUGUGGGUAUCAAACAGGAUUAGAUACCCUUGUAGUC
rnacentral:rRNA from 1 species